AUACUUACCUGGACGGGGUUAAUGGGUGAUCAAAAAGGCCCAUGUCCUAGGCCUGUGAUCUCCAUUGCACUCGGGAGUGGUGCAUGCCUAAGGUCUACCUGAAUGGUAGAGCCUACGUUAUAAUUUGUGGUAGUGGAGGCUUGCGUUCGCGCAGCCUCUU